CGUUCCUUUAAGCAGGUCCCGUGAGGCCGGCAAGGAGUGUGCAAGCCCUGUUGCCCAGGUGCUGGUGUGCCUGUGCGCGUGCGUUUGACGAGCUCUUUACCGGUUGGUAAAGAGCUUUUUUGU
rfam:Bacillus thermozeamaize isolate ZCTH02-B2 BIN02_NODE327776463, whole genome shotgun sequence.